GACGAACGCUGGCGGCGUGCUUAACACAUGCAAGUCGAACGGAAAGGCCCUGCUUUUGUGGGGUGCUCGAGUGGCGAACGGGUGAGUAACACGUGAGUAACCUGCCCUUGACUUUGGGAUAACUUCAGGAAACUGGGGCUAAUACCGGAUAGGAGCUCCUGCUGCAUGGUGGGGGUUGGAAAGUUUCGGCGGUUGGGGAUGGACUCGCGGCUUAUCAGCUUGUUGGUGGGGUAGUGGCUUACCAAGGCUUUGACGGGUAGCCGGCCUGAGAGGGUGACCGGCCACAUUGGGACUGAGAUACGCCCCAGACUCCUACGGGAGGCAGCAGGGGGGAAUAUUGCACAAUGGGCGGAAGCCUGAUGCAGCAACGCCGCGUGCGGGAUGACGGCCUUCGGGUUGUAAACCGCUUUCGCCUGUGACGAAGCGUGGGUGACGGUAAUGGGUAAAGAAGCACCGGCUAACUACGUG
rnacentral:rRNA from 1 species